rnacentral:tRNA from 1 species
GGUGGAAUUGGUAGACACGCUAGACUUAGGAUCUAGUGCCGCGAGGUGUGAGAGUUCGAGUCUCUCC